rnacentral:rRNA from 1 species
UACGGAGGGGGCUAGCGUUGUUCGGAAUUACUGGGCGUAAAGGGCUCGUAGGCGGCCAACUAAGUCAGACGUGAAAUCCCUCGGCUUAACCGGGGAACUGCGUCUGAUACUGGAUGGCUUGAGGUUGGGAGAGGGAUGCGGAAUUCCAGGUGUAGCGGUGAAAUGCGUAGAUAUCUGGAGGAACACCGGUGGCGAAGGCGGCAUCCUGGACCAAUUCUGACGCUGAGGAGCGAAAGCCAGGGGAGCAAGCGGG